rnacentral:rRNA from 1 species
CGCGACCCCAGGUCAGCGGGACUACCCGCUGAGU